AUGGGCGAAAGCCUGAUCCAGCAAUGCCGCGUGUGUGAAGAAGGCCUUCGGGUUGUAAAGCACUUUUGUCCGGAAAGAAAUCCUUGGCUCUAAUACAGUCGGGGGAUGACGGUACCGGAAGAAUAAGCACCGGCUAACUACGUGCCAGCAGCCGCGGUAAUACGUAGGGUGCGAGCGUUAAUCGGAAUUACUGGGCGUAAAGCGUGCGCAGGCGGUUUGCUAAGACCGAUGUGAAAUCCCCGGGCUCAACCUGGGAACUGCAUUGGUGACUGGCAGGCUAGAGUAUGGCAGAGGGGGGUAGAAUUCCACGUGUAGCAGUGAAAUGCGUAGAGAUGUGGAGGAAUACCGAUGGCGAAGGCAGCCCCCUGGGCCAAUACUGACGCUCAUGCACGAAAGCGUGGGGAGCAAACAGGAUUAGAUACCCUGGUAGUCCACGCCCUAAACGAUGUCAACUAGUUGUUGGGGAUUCAUUUCCUUAGUAACGUAGCUAACGCGUGAAGUUGACCGCCUGGGGAGUACGGUCGCAAGAUUAAAACUCAAAGGAAUUGACGGGGACCCGCACAAGCGGUGGAUGAUGUGGAUUAAUUCGAUGCAACGCGAAAAACCUUACCUACCCUUGACAUGGUCGGAAUCCUGCUGAGAGG
rnacentral:rRNA from 1 species